CGGAGUCCUCCGCUAACGUAGAGAUCUGGAAGAAAACAACUCAACACCUGCAAGGAGGAGAGCGACACACUGAGGGAAAAGAUAGCAGAGUUGGAGUCUCAGUGUGAAAAGGCCAACGUGGAGAAGGAGAGGAACUCUAAGCUCACUGUACGAGUUCAGGAGCUGGAGACGGAGCUGCAGGACAAGGAACAGGUCUUCUAUCUUCUUGUUGAAGAACACUCAGAGAAAAGGGGAAA